rnacentral:rRNA from 1 species
UACGUAGGGGGCAAGCGUUAUCCGGAUUUACUGGGUGUAAAGGGAGCGUAGACGGCGAAGCAAGUCUGAAGUGAAAACCCAGGGCUCAACCCUGGGACUGCUUUGGAAACUGUUUUGCUAGAGUGUCGGAGAGGUAAGUGGAAUUCCUAGUGUAGCGGUGAAAUGCGUAGAUAUUAGGAGGAACACCAGUGGCGAAGGCGGCUUUCUGGACGAUGACUGACGUUGAGGCUCGAAAGCGUGGGGAGCAAACAGG